UACAGAGGGGGCAAGCGUUGUUCGGAAUUACUGGGCGUAAAGGGUGCGUAGGCGGCGCGGUAAGUCGGGUGUGAAAUCUCGGAGCUUAACUCCGAAACUGCAUUCGAUACUGCCGUGCUUUGAGGACUGGAGAGGAGACUGGAAUUUACGGUGUAGCGGUGAAAUGCGUAGAUAUCGUAAGGAAGACCAGUGGCGAAGGCGGGUCUCUGGACAGUUCCUGACGCUGAGGCACGAAGGCCAGGGGAGCAAACGGG
rnacentral:rRNA from 1 species